UUUUAUCGAAGAAUCGAUUUAUUUUAAGUGAUCAAAAAUUUGACACUAGUCUCGUCUUUUAAACUGAUGUUACUUCAACCACCAUCCCCUGUUGAAUGUGGAACAAUUAAAUUAGGAAAUGUGAAGAAUUAAAGUUUUUAUUUAACAGUUAUUAAGUUGGCUUUAAUGAUGUAUGUGUAUAUUUUUCCCGCUUACUUGUAAGUAAAGAUGGAAAAAAAAAAUUCUUGAGCUUGGCAUCAAACAUAGUAAAUGCCGUUUUACUAUCUGCUUGGAAAAAUUGAUUAUCCGUAUUGUAAUGGCAAAUGUAGUGAAAAGGUCGAAUCGAAAUGUGUUUGUGUGCAUUUAGUUCUUGUCGAAUUUCCUUAAAAGUUGAAAAACUUAUAUGAUCCACUUAAAGUUCUUCUCCGGGAUGACCGUCGGCGAAUUGGGUCAUUUUAGUAGGAAAUUUUAUCGAGAAGAAAAUAUUUACCAUGGAGAACUUAAAAACUUGAUACCACUAAAAGAUUCGGAAAUGUCUUUAGCCAAGAAUAAUUGGUUAGUAAAAGCUUUUAAAUUUUAUAACGCUGUUGGCUUCAAAAAUUUUACCAAUGUUUUCAAAUAAUCGAACAAUUCUUUAAUGAUUUUUUUGAUUAAAAGAAAAAAAAAACCAUCACACAUACGAAGGAAAUUAGUUUAAGGAUGGCUUAAGAGCCGUGGUAAUUUGCAUAUGGUGUCAACAGUAAUGAUAAACAUCUUAAUUAACUCUUAUAUUCUAAAUUAUGCUCAGAUUACCGAUAAUAUCAGUUUUUGGUAAAUUGAGAUUAGUUAGUCAUUAGCAUAAGUUCUCGAUAAAAACUAAUUUGAAAUUUAGAUCUUGCCAUGUCGAAAUUUUUAUUUUUCUACUCUACUUAC
rnacentral:lncRNA from 1 species